rnacentral:rRNA from 1 species
GACGAACGCUGGCGGCGUGCUUAACACAUGCAAGUCGAACGGUGAAGCGCCUUCCCUUUUGGUGGGUGUGGAUGAGUGGCGAACGGGUGAGUAACACGUGAGUAACCUGCCCCCUUCUUCUGGAUAACCGCAUGAAAGUGUGGCUAAUACGGGAUAUUCUGGGUCUGUCGCAUGAUGGGUCUGGGAAAGAUAUUGUUUCGGUGGGGGAUGGGCUCGCGGCCUAUCAGCUUGUUGGUGGGGUGAUGGCCUACCAAGGCGGUGACGGGUAGCCGGCCUGAGAGGGUGGACGGUCACACUGGGACUGAGACACGGCCCAGACUCCUACGGGAGGCAGCAGUGGGGAAUAUUGCACAAUGGGCGCAAGCCUGAUGCAGCGACGCCGCGUGAGGGAUGGAGGCCUUCGGGUUGUGAACCUCUUUCGCCAGUGAAGCAGGCCUGCCUCGUUUGUGGGUGGGUUGACGGUAGCUUGAUAAGAAGCGCCGGCUAACUACGUG